UACAGAGGGGGCAAGCGUUAUUCGGAAUUAUUGGGCGUAAAGGGCGCGUAGGCGGCUUUUCAAGUGACGGGUGAAAUCCCUCGGCUUAACCGAGGAACUGCCUCCCAAACUGCUUGGCUUGAGACCGGGAGAGGUGAGUGGAAUUCCCAGUGUAGCGGUGAAAUGCGUAGAUAUUGGGAGGAACACCAGUGGCGAAGGCGGCUCACUGGACCGGUACUGACGCUGAUGCGCGAAAGCGUGGGGAGCAAACGGG
rnacentral:rRNA from 1 species